rnacentral:lncRNA from 1 species
GAUUAAGUUAAAAUGAGGUCGUUAGGGGAGGUCCUAAGCCAAUCUGACUGGAGCCCUUAUAAGGAGAGGAGAUUAGGAUGCAGAGAGAGCUAGGGACAUCACGGGCAGAAUGGGGAGGAACGACCACGUGAGGACACAGGGAGGAGGCAGCUGUCUGUAGGCUAAGGAGAGCGGCCUCAGAAGAAACCAACUCUGCAAUAGUUUUAAGGUGUUAUUUCUUAAUAAAUCUUUUGCACUCCCAACUCCCUCUCAGCAUUUGCUUCCUGGAGAACCCAACCUGCCACAACAGGAAACAUUUAGAUCCUACAAAGUCAGCUGGGAAGGGAAGGAAUUCAGAAAAAAGAAUGAAACACUGAAAACUGUAUAUCAAAUAAGAAGAAUGAUGUGGAUUGUCGACUGGGAGACUAUAAAACCCAUCACUGAGCUCUUCAGGUCACAGAAGAGGGAGCCAGAAAGGGAUUAGAUUACAGAAGAGGAGAAGGCAGUGCGCCUACAGAGACUGGAGUGAUGUGGCCACAAGCCAAGGAAUGCAGACAGUGACCAGAAGCUGGAAAAGACAAGGAUCUCUCCCUUGGGACCUCCAGAGGGAACCAGGCCUGCCAACCCCUUGAUUUUAGCCCCAUAAGAUUCAGGACUUCUGGCUUGCAGAACUGUAAGAGAAUAAAUUUGUGUUGUUUUAAGUCAUUAAA